CCUACGGGAGGCAGCAGUGGGGAAUAUUGCACAAUGGGCGGAAGCCUGAUGCAGCGACGCCGCGUGAGGGAUGACGGCCUUCGGGUUGUAAACCUCUUUCAGCAGGGACGAAGCGUAAGUGACGGUACCUGCAGAAGAAGCACCGGCUAACUACGUGCCAGCAGCCGCGGUAAUACGUAGGGUGCGAGCGUUGUCCGGAAUUACUGGGCGUAAAGGGCUCGUAGGUGGUUUGUCGCGUCGUCUGUGAAAUUCUGGGGCUUAACUCCGGGCGUGCAGGCGAUACGGGCAUAACUUGAGUGCUGUAGGGGUAACUGGAAUUCCUGGUGUAGCGGUGAAAUGCGCAGAUAUCAGGAGGAACACCGAUGGCGAAGGCAGGUUACUGGGCAGUUACUGACGCUGAGGAGCGAAAGCAUGGGUAGCGAACAGGAUUAGAUACCCUGGUAGUCCAUGCCGUAAACGGUGGGCGCUAGGUGUGAGGGUCUUUCUACGACUUUCGUGCCGUAGCUAACGCAUUAAGCGCCCCGCCUGGGGAGUACGGCCGCAAGGCUAAAACUCAAAGGAAUUGACGGGGGCCCGCACAAGCGGCGGAGCAUGUGGAUUAAUUCGAUGCAACGCGAAGAACCUUACCUGGGCUUGACAUACACCAGAUUGGGCUAGAGAUAGUUCGUCCCUUUGUGGUUGGUGUACAGGUGGUGCAUGGUUGUCGUCAGCUCGUGUCGUGAGAUGUUGGGUUAAGUCCCGCAACGAGCGCAACCC
rnacentral:rRNA from 1 species